AUUGAACGCUGGCGGAAUGCUUUACACAUGCAAGUCGAGCGGCAGCGCGGGGCAACCUGGCGGCAAGCGGCGAACGGGUGAGUAAUACAUCGGAACGUGCCCAGACGUGGGGGGAUAACUACUCGAAAGAGUGGCUAAUACCGCAUACGAUCUACGGAUGAAAGCGGGGGAUCGCAAGACCUCGCGCGUCUGGAGCGGCUGAUGGCAGAUUAGGUAGUUGGUGGGGUAAAGGCUUACCAAGCCUGCGAUCUGUAGCUGGUCUGAGAGGACGACCAGCCACACUGGGACUGAGACACGGCCCAGACUCCUACGGGAGGCAGCAGUGGGGAAUUUUGGACAAUGGGCGAAAGCCUGAUCCAGCCAUUCCGCGUGCAGGAUGAAGGCCCUCGGGUUGUAAACUGCUUUGUACGGAACGAAAAAGACUCCGGCUAAUACCUGGAGUCCAUGACGGUACCGUAAGAAUAAGCACCGGCUAACUACGUGCCAGCAGCCGCGGUAAU
rnacentral:rRNA from 1 species